ACAUAUAUACAUCAUAAUGACAUAAUCAUUCACUCCAUCAUGAUUCUGAACUCUUCAAAACUAAGCACACCAUCACCAUCCAAAUCAAAUCUUUUAAUCAUCACUUUACAUUCUUCAAUGGACUUAGAAUCCCCCAACUUUUUCAACAUCCUCUUCAAACUCUUUGGUGUUAUGUACCCACACCCUUCAUCAUCAUACAUUUCAAAAGCUUCCCUCAAAUCCUUCAAUUUUUCUUCCUCUCCCCCUGAUUCCAUUAGCGCUAUCAAAUCCUCCAAACUCAAUAACCCAUCACCAUCAGAAUCCAAUGCCUCAAUAGCAAUCUCCACUUCUUUCAAUUGAAACUCUCCGCUAAUCUUCGCCAUUCGACUCCUUAAUUCGUUCGGGGAAAUCUUUCCGUCGCCAUCUUCAUCAAAGUAACUAAGAACACGCUCAAAUUCCAUGUUACUCCUCAUGUUAAUUAUAUAUUUAUAUAUUGGUCACAACCAAAAACCUAAAAAUUGGAACAAGUUAAUACAAACACUUGCCUCAAGAUACGUCAAAGUAUAGAGAGUGAAAUUCAAUUACAACAAAGUGUAGUGUUAUUAUACUCCAACAAUUUAAUGAAAUUAAAUAGGAUAUGUACUAUGUAGAAUAUUAUAUAUGAAUGUAUAGAUAGGACUAAAAAAAGAUAGGACUAUAAAUAAGGGAUAGAUACAUUAGGAGUUAUGGACACACUUAUUUUUCUGUUGGCUACAUGAAACAAUGGCUGGUGUGUUAUGUAGUAUUUAUAUUUUGUAGUAUGUGAAUUAUGAAGACGUGUUAAUUAAAUUUUCUGGAAGAGAAAGACGGCAUAAACGUCACGGCAUAUGUAGAGAGAGUGGGGAUAACGCGGGGCCUAAAAUGAAAUAAUUUAUAUUAACGGUCAAAUGGGUUCGUGACUUAGUUAGGAAAUUUUAUUUUAUCAUUUUUAAUUUGUUGGUAUAGCUGUAGGGCGGAGUAGUUAAUGGCAAAUGGCAGAGCCGCCCAAUAUGUAUCCAAACGUGUCGGAUGCCACCGUAGUCACACGGUGGAUACAGACGGUGUGUCGUGCAUUUUAAAUUAGAUUUUUUGCAUUUGAUGCUUAAAAAAAUUAAAUUAAAUUCUUCUUUUGUUUAAGUUUAGGAUUUAAGUCGAGACUCCCUCAAAAAAAAAAAAAAAAGGAUUCAAGUCGAGACAAAGAGAAAAAAAUUAACAUAACAAUCAAUAUACUUACAUUUGUCAUUUAUAAAACAUUAAAAAAUUUAAGUUGACUUAAAUCAAAAAUUAUGAUUGCGUACAAUAUUUUUUAUUGGAACCAAAAAAUGAUAAAAACAAAUCUAUUGAGAUUAAUUAAAAAUAAAAUUCAAAAUUUUAUAGAGAUUAAAAUUAUAUGUAACAAUUUUCCUUAUAUAAAUAAAUUGUCUCAAAAAGGCUGACCAAAAAAAAAAUUGUCUCAAAAAGGAACAGCUCCAAGGUUACUAGUUCAUUAAGUUCCAUACCGUAGACGCGCUUUAGAGGCACCACCCAAACAGGUUUAGAGAUAAAACCAUGAUCACAUAAACCAAAAUAUACCAUGAUUGUCUACAAUUGUCAUCCAAACACAACUUGGAUGACAACUUUUUGAUUAGGGCUUUCGUCUCAAGAAUCAUAAUCCUCAUCUAUAAAUGUGUUAACUUAUAUCUCGUAACACUAUUCAUAAACUUUAAAACCUCAAACUCAUGAUCCUUAACAACUUACUUGAUCUUCAUAAUAUCGUCCUCAACCACUUGUUUCUCUGGCCGUCGAUCUUGGAUCAAUUCAAAUGAUAUGUAAGUAGUCAUGUGUGCACGGAGUAUUUUACAUUUUUAUCUGACGUUGAUCACAAAUUCCAUGUAUAUAAGACAUGACUCUUUCUCUAAAAAAAAAAAAGACAUGACUCUUAAAAAUCGUGGUUGGACCCACUGGCUGAUGUUGAGUUUAUUUUUCGGGGGUACCAAAUAUUUGUAGAAUAUAUACUAAAAAGUUUAAAAAGAUAUACAAUAUUGUAAACUGGUGUGAUGACACAAUUGUAUGAAUGUAACAUUAACAUGAGGGAUGCCAUUUCGAAUCCCACUAGGACCUUUUUUUGGUAUAAAAUGUGAAGAGUUCGCUAAAAAAUAUAAAAAGAGGGUCCCUUGGGGUUCAAACCAAAGCGACCUUUAGUAGAUUAAAAUACUGUAUAACUGCUGCAACACCAACAUAUUACUUGUAAUAUCAGGCCUAAUAUGAUAUUUAUAUAAAAGCUGGGGUGCAGUGGCACUUGCGGGUCUCUAAAGAGAUCCGUCCCUGGUUAACAUGUUUGUGAGGGGAGGGUGAUUGCUCCCACUUAUAAAAACAUAUUCAAGCCAUAUUUUGUCUUAUGUGAGACUCUUGGGCUUGAUGCGUGGAUAUAAAUGGUUGGUGGUCGGAUAGCGGAAACAUGAUAACAUGUGGUCCAAUGGAUCUUAGAAAAGGCUAUGAUAUCAUCUUAGAUAUUGUGGUUGAGUCUAAGACAAACCCACUAAACCAACUUAUAAUGUGAAGAUUGCCCCCACAUAGAAAUACAUAUUCAAAUCAUCUUUCAUUUGAUGUGAGAUUCUUUAACAAUAACAUGCGUAACGUCUGAAGUAGGAAAACAUUACUUUUAAGUUUAAGCACAUUAAUUUUGUCAAAAAAAAAAAAAAAAGUUUAAGCACAUUAAUGUAGCCUACAAUAUUACUGUUAACUACCCAAUCCCAAUUUUUAGAAAUUGCUAGUGUGGUGACUAAUAACGCAAAGGAAGGAAUGUAUACUUCUAAUAUUGUUAUUCUCAUCCAAACACUAUAUUUUUUUUUUUUUUGAGAGCAACACUAUAUCUUUGUUGGUUUUUGUUUCUCCAUCCUAACAUUUUUUUUAGAAUAUAGUUAACAAAUCUAUAAUAAAUAUUGUCUUAAAAAUAUAAAUCAAAACAUUUGACAAUUUUAUCCACUCUUUAUGCAAAAAAAAAAACUUUUUUUUUUUUUAACAUUUUAAAGAAUGUUUUAAAGAAAUUUGUUAACAUUUCUGUUUUUUUACUCAAAACUAUAUCAUUGUUGAACUUCUAUCGUCUUCGCAAUUCUGGAGAAAAAAAAAUCCAAAGGUCCCACAUAAUCUCUUCUUUCUUGUGUAUCAAACAAGAGAAAUUAAUGAUAGUUUAUCUCUUCUUUCUCUUUUUGAGUAUUCUUUAUGGGUCUUGUUAACAAGUGUCUUCGGAUAUAGGCGGUUUCACCGUCCAGCGACCCCGGACACUCGCUUGAACUUGGUCGAUACUUUCUUCACAUUAGACCCAACCAUAGUUAGUAAUUCCUUGUUGUCAAUGGAAUUCGUGCGUACCGUUUGCCGUUUCUUUCCGUACCAAAUUUGUGAAAGCAGCGAUGAAUAUGGAUGAAUAGCUGUUAUGCCAUUCUUUUCCGACGAACCGGCGAUGAAUAUCGAUGAAUAGCUGUUAUGAAGUUGGAACCGGUGAAAAAAUGGAGUGAAACGGUUUUGGGUGAAACAGGGGAAGGUGAAGUAGUUUUGGAGAAAGAUGAAAAGAGAAAACAAUUAUCUACCGGUGUAUGCUUUUCUUUUUCAAUGAAAAAAUAAUAAUAAAUUUGUUAAUGUGUUGCUACCUGGUAGAGCAAAUUUCUCUCCCCGACCCACAUCACCUUAUAAUGUAAAAUAUAAAUUAAAUUAAAUUUUGUCAAAAAAAUAAAUAAAUAAAUAAAUUAAAUUAGAUCGUCUUCUCUUGUGACCCUUUAUAAUAUUUCUUUUUUAUUUAAUCUUUGUUAUAAAAAAGUUUUAUCAGAUUGUAUUUUUUAAGUAUACCAAACUUUGUUGAUAAUAUAGUUAUUAGUAUAUCAAUACCCUUCACGUAUCGAAUACUUUGUAGAUUGCAAAGUGCGUAACAUGUAUCGAACGAAUUACGAACUUGAUUAUUAAGACUAAAUUGUGCAACAAGAUCAACAAUGUGUGGUUUAAUGAGUUGAUGAUAUGUUAUAUUGAGUGAGAGAUAUUCAAGUCACUUGAUGAUGUUGAUAUUAAUCGAACAUUCACCACAAAGAGGAGGUCUCGGGGAGGGCAUUGACAUCCUAAUUUUAUUUAGCACGUUAUUGGUGAGUUAUAUUUCAUCUCACUUGUUUUAAAUUGUACUUUUGUUGAAAAAAUGACGAACCUCUUUUAUUUCGAUUUAUGACUAUUUAUAUAUAUUACGUCACAUGUGAAUUGGCGAUAAAUUUUUCGCCCAGGCUCUAUAGAAUUCCUGGCUCCGCCACAGUCUCCGGGACACUCUUGAAAGAUUUCAAAAAACGAAAUUAUUUUAUAAAAAAAUCAAAUAUUUCGAUUUUCGAUGCAUUGAUUACACAUAUUUUCAUAAUAAAUUACCCUUUAAAGGGCUAGGAUCCUCUCCAUAUUAUAAAAUAAAUAGAGUUAACAAUUUGGAGAUAGAUAGACACAUAAAAUAGAGAGUGUGUCCUACUAUUAAAUGGAUCCCUCCAUCAUUAAUUAUUUUUUACUUUUUUUAAACUUUUUUGAAUCUAUAUCUCUCCAAAUGGAUGAAAUUGACAGGGUACAGACUAGAGAGGAUCUUAACUCCCUUUUAAAGACCUUAACUAAUGCCCAGGGUGCUAGUUAACAUUUCUCAUUCUUUAUUAACAAACAGACCUCAAAAAAUUAGCCUUAAUACAAUAAUUGUAUAAGGAUGACUGAAUUUUGGUGUUUAUUUUGAUUUGUGUAGCUAAGGUCAAUGACCAAAUUUUAAUUAUAAGAGUGUUUCCAUUCAAAAAACUAUAAGAGUGUGUAUAGAUGGGGGAAUGUUUUGAGGGAAUGUAAUAUUUUGAAGGAAUUCAACUACUUUGAGGUGAAUUCUAUUGUUUGAAUCCACUUCAAAAUAAUUGAUUUCCCUCAAAACAUUACAUUACCUCAAAAUAUUUCCCCAUCCAAACACACUAUAAGAGUGUUUGUUUCAAGUUACCUUUGUAUAUUUUUGAGAGUAAUAUGGUAGAAAUAUGCAUUUUGUUAAAAGUUUAUUGUCAAGUAUAAAAUAUUUAUUGUGACUAGGAAAAAAAUUGAAAAAAAAAUGUUGGGAAUCAUGAAGAUGAGAAUAAAUUUAUGUCUAACUAUCUAUUAAUUUCUCUAUUAUAAAGUUUAUCGGAAAUAUUAUAAUAUUAACCAAUAUUUUUUUUUUAAAGCAUGGAAUAAAACUCUUAUCCUUAUUAUAUUCUAAAGAAAGUUAUUUUUAAGAAUAAAUCUAGCAAAUCAUUUUGUUGUCCUCGUGAGCUUAACUCAGUUGGAAAGGACAAUGCAUAAUAUAUGCAAGGUCCGGGGUUAAAACUCCGACCACCACAAAAAAAUAUAUAUAUAAAAGCAAUUUUCGUGUUGCUAGGUUUGGAAUCUGGUAUGGAAGGUUAAAGCCCCUUCUAAGGUAAAUAACUUACUUUGGUGCAGAGGUAGAGAAAAUAUGUGUGGAUUGUCCCACAACACAAAUUGUGUUCUAAUUGUCAUGUCUUUGUUUAAGUGUGAGUGGUUAGUUUCACCUAUUCAUAAAGGAAAAUGAUUCAUAAACACCCUUUUCCCAUACCACUUUUCUAUAUACCCCUAUCUAGCAAGGUAUUUUGGUAAUUUCGCAAACACUUUUUUUCAAUCCUUCCAAUCCUCUUGAGUCUGCAACGUGAAACACGCACUCAUACUUUCUUCCUUGUUCCUUCCUUCUCCUCACUGGCCAUGAACCACCGCCGUCACCACCACCAUCUCUGUUGUCAUUGACCUCACUCAAACGUUCCCCAACGACAACGAUGACGGUGGUUGUGGGUGUGGAUAUCGAUCUCGCUUUCUUGGUCGACAACAACGAUGACGGCAGCGGCUGUCGGUGAGAAUUCCAAAUCUCGUUUUGAGGAGGGCAAUUACGACGAUGGUGGUGGAAAACGAUGUGAAUGAUGAAAGGUGAGAGAACAGCGUUCAUGACAGAGAGAAGAAGUAUUUGGAUUGAUUUUUGGAGAAUUAGAAUAGGUUUUGUUGUUGAUGAUGUGAAAGUGAAGAAAAAUGCAUUGUUGUGAACUUUUAGUUGCGGAUGUUACAACAGAAUUUGGAAUUGAAAGAGUGAGAACGAUUGGUGUGGUGGUAGACUGGUGUGGUGGGACAUGGGAGAAGAAAGAAGGGGAGCGUGUUCUGUGUUGUGAUACACUAAAAAACUUGUGUUUUUUUUAAUUGAUUAAUAAAAUAAAUAAAACAUAGAAUAAAGGCACUUAGAAAGAUUAUUUUAUAUUAGUUUUUUUUACAUGUGGAAGGGUGUAUAGGGUGGUAUGCCACGUAGGGUGGUCCGCCUAUCACCACUCAUUCAAAAAUAUAUGAGAAAUGAUUCAUAUACCCAAUAUAUAUUUUAGCUUUAGAUGAAGAUGCAAUGCUAAUGUCUCUUUCUCUUAUAGUCCUUGAGGCCGGAGUAUUGAUUCAUUGCUUCCGGCGGUCUCCCGGACUCUAAACACUAUGCAUGCAAUGGUAGGGAUGAAGUUAACGCUACGCAAGAAUGGACGGACUAUUGCGAGGAAUGCAAACCAUGAUGUUUGUUGUAUUGCAUGAUUGUAAACCCAAUGCAGUCCUUAUUUUGGCCAUCCUAGUACAAUUACUCUUCUUCCUACUGAACGUGUCCUAAACUUUGAUGCUUUGUUUUUAGCCAAAUUAUUUAUCAUCCCAUGUCCUCAUUAUUAUUUACUAGUAAAUUACAAAAACAAUGAUUUAUAUAAAUUUACAUUGCAUAAAAGCAAUUUAGUCAUACAAUGUACAAAAGAAUGAAUGAAACCAGAAAGACUAUAAGCACCUCACAUAAUCAACACAUAUAUACAUCAUCAUCAUUCAAUCCAUCAUGAUUCUGAAUUCUUCAAAACUAAGCACACCAUCACCAUCCAAAUCAAAUCUUUUAAUCAUCAAUUUGCAUUCUUCAAUGGACUUAGAAUCCCCCAGUUUUUUCAACAUCCUCUUCAAACUUUUUGGCGUUAUGAAUCCACAUCCUUCAUUAUCAUACAUUUCAAAAGCUUCCCUCAAAUCCUUCAAUUUUUCCUCCUCUCCCCCUGAUUCCAUUAACGUAAUCAAAUCUCCCAAACUCAAUAACCCAUCACCAUCAGAAUCCAAUGCCUCAAUAGCAAUUUCAACUUCUUUCAAUUGAAACUCUCCGCCAAUCUUCGCCAUUCGACUCCUUAACUCGUUUGGCGAAAUUUUUCCGUCUCCAUCUUCAUCAAAGUAACUAAGAACACGCUCAAAUUCCAUUUCCCUCUUCAUGUUAACAAUAUAUUGUUCAAUACCACAAAAUAUAAUUACAACAAAGUAAUAUACUAUUAUAGUCUUACAAAUUGUUUCAAACAAAAAGUAUAGUAGAAUGUAGGAAUAUGAUUAUUAUGAAUAUAAUAUUUGUGUUGGAAAUAUUGGAUGAAACAAUGGUUUGUAGUUUAUGGAGUAUUUAUAGUGUAUGGGUUUAUGAAGGCGUGUUAAUACCAUUAUCUGGAAGAUUACUAGAAGCAAGUUGGUACGAGUGUUUGAGGAAGAGAAAAAAAAAAUGGCAUAAACGUCAUGGCAUAUGCAGUUGGGUAGUGGAGAGAGAGAGAGAGAUGAGUUUGAAGAAAUAAAAGAGAGAGAUAGAAAGUGGAUAACGCGGGCCAGGAGGACUUUCUCAAAUAGCCUAGAAAAAAAUAACUUAUAAUAACGGUCAAUUGGGGUCGUGACUUAGUUAGGACAUUUUCUUUUAUGAUUUUUAAUUGUUGUAUAGUUGGCGGAGCCGCCCAAUAUGUAUCAAAACGUGUCGGGUGCCACCGCAAUCACACGGUGGAUACAGACACUUCCAUACCUUGUCAACAUUUAUUGUUUAUUUGUUCGUCUACAGACUGUGGGUCGUGUAUUUUCUUGGUUUGUUUAUAGUGAGAAAAUAUCAAAAUACGAUAUGUGAUGGACUAGUUUCAAUUUUUUUUAAAUUAAAUUAAAUAGCAAUGUGUAUUUGUUCCAUGAGGUAUUUUACAUUUUUAUCCAACGUUGACACCGAAUUCCAUAAAAAUAGGACAAUACACACAUGUAUGCAAUGGGAAAGCAUUAUUUUGAACUACAUUAACCUGGUCGUGUUUUACAGAAUUUUGCAACCAAACACUAUAUCAUUGUAUUUUUUAUUUACUCAAAACCAUCUCGUUGUUGUUGAACUCUUUGCAGCGUUCACACUCUUGAUCAAAUGUGUGUCUGGGUUUUAAUAUGUGUUUAAUAUGAUACAUAUAAUUACAUUAUAUUAUAUCAUUUUUUAAAGGCUAAAAUAUGGUUUUGGUUCCUGCAAAUAUGUCUCGUUUUGGUUUUAGUCCCUGUAAAAAAAAAUUGUUGUUUUUGGUCCCCGCAAAAUAUUUUGUUUUUGGAAAUGGUCCCUGCAGGGACUAUUUUCAAAAUCAAAAUAUUUUGCAGGGACCUUUUUCAAAAUCAAAAGAUUUUGCAAGGACUAUUUCUCUAAUAAAUGGUUCAGUCAUCAUGUGACACGUGUGCAAAUUAUCACAAAAGUGGAGUCAGGGACCAAAACCAAAAUGAGACAUAUUUGCAGGGACCAAAAACAACAAUUUUUUUUUGCAGGGACUAAAACCAAAACGAGGCAUAUUUGCAGGGACCAAAACCAUAUUUUAGCCAUUUUUAAACUAUUGCAAUUAUCGACGUAUUAAUGACUGUGUCGUCUUCGUGUUGGUGCUUCAUAUAUAGGUUGAACUUAUAUUGGCUUUCUACACAACUAUAGAGAGAGGGGGCAAAACUCCGACAUCAAUUUUGUCUAUCGAUCUUCUCUCCAGUUGUCUUGCAAUGCCAAUUUAGGGCACCAAACAAGAGAAAUUAAUGAUAGUUUCUCUCUUAGGUGUGUUUGAUAUGACAACUUCAUUUGUAUAAUAUUUGAUUAUAAAAUGGUUUCAAGGAUAUGAUAAAUUGGUGUGAAAUUCUUGUUCAUCAUUAAACUAUAACACAAUUUUUUGUCUCGAACAUAAAUUGUCUAAAAUAUCAAAAUAGUUUUUUUUUGUCCACAAAAAAUUGUUCAAUAACAUAAAAAUUUGUUUUGUGUUGUUAUGUACGGUACUUAUUUUUUAACUUAUCAAAUGCACCCUUAUUCUCUUGUAGGGAAAAUAGUUCUUGUUGUUCCUGUAUCUUUCUGAACCCUUAAAGUUUCUCUCUCCCUUCAUUUCCAAACUCCCAAACAAAACUUUAAUAUUUUAGGUGGUUACGGAGCAUUAACUCGUUGUUGCUUUCGGCUCUCUCGGGACACUCAAGACUACACAACAAAUGAAAGGGAUGAAAGUAUUCACUAAUUUUUUCACUGUCCUUUCAGUAGACAAUUUUGGGUCAAGAAAGGACUGUUGCGCGUAAUGCAGACAUGCAAACCAUGCUGCUUGUUGUACUGCAUGAAUGUCAACCCCAUGCAGUCCCUUUUGUGGCUAUUAUCAUCAGGUGGAGUAUAUCUAUAUGGCUGGCUGGCAACAAACUCAGCCAUGUUUCAUAUUAUUAUUUAAUUAGUGCUAGCAAAUUACAAAAACAAUGAUUUAUAUAUCCUUUUGCAUAUCAUAAAAGUAAUAAGGCACAAGCACAAUACUCUAUAAUAUAGUAAUUAACUGCUGAACAUGUCCCGAAAUAUGAUGCUUGUGUUUUAUCCAAGUUAGUAUUCCAUGUCUCAUAUUAAUUCCAAAAACAAUGAUAUUUAUAUUGCAUAAAACAAUGAUUAUAUAAAAUUAUAUUGCAUAAAAGCAAUUUAGUCAUACAAUGUACAAAAAAAUGAAUGAAAUUAACCCCGCAGCCUCUGGCCAAAACACAUGAUAUAUAUAAUCAUAAACAUAUCAUCACACUCAAUCCAUCAUGAUUCUGAAUUCUUCAAAACUAAGCACACCAUCACCAUCCAAAUCAAAUCUUUUAAUCAUCAAUUUGCAUUCUUCAAUGGACUUAGAAUCCCCCAGUUUUUUCAACAUCCUCUUCAAACUUUUUGGUGUUAUGAAUCCACAUCCUUCAUUAUCAUACAUUUCAAAAGCUUCC
rnacentral:lncRNA from 1 species